rnacentral:rRNA from 1 species
UACGAAGGGGGCUAGCGUUGCUCGGAAUCACUGGGCGUAAAGGGUGCGUAGGCGGGUCUUUAAGUCAGGGGUGAAAUCCUGGAGCUCAACUCCAGAACUGCCUUUGAUACUGAAGAUCUUGAGUUCGGGAGAGGUGAGUGGAACUGCGAGUGUAGAGGUGAAAUUCGUAGAUAUUGGCAAGAACACCAGUGGCGAAGGCGGCUCACUGGCCCGGUACUGACGCUGAGGCGCGAAAGCGUGGGGAGCAAACAGG